rnacentral:rRNA from 1 species
AGCGUGGGGAGCGAACAGGAUUAGAUACCCUGGUAGUCCACGCCGUAAACGAUGGGUACUAGGUGUUGCGGGUAUUGACCCCUGCAGUGCCAAAGCUAACGCAUUAAGUACCCCGCCUGGGGAGUACGGCCGCAAGGCUAAAACUCAAAGGAAUUGACGGGGGCCCGCACAAGCGGCGGAGCAUGCGGAUUAAUUCGAUGCAACGCGAAGAACCUUACCAAGGCUUGACAUAUACAGGAAAAGCGUAGAAAUACGCUCCCCGCAAGGUCUGUAUACAGGUGGUGCAUGGUUGUCGUCAGCUCGUGUCGUGAGAUGUUGGGUUAAGUCCCGCAACGAGCGCAACCCUCGUCCUAUGUUGCCAGCACGUAAUGGUGGGAACUCAUGGGAUACUGCCGGGGUCAACUCGGAGGAAGGUGGGGAUGACGUCAAAUCAUCAUGCCCCUUAUGUCUUGGGCUGCACGCAUGCUACAAUGGCCGGUACAGAGGGCUGCAAUACCGUAAGGUGGAGCGAAUCCCAAAAAGCCGGUCUCAGUUCGGAUUGAGGUCUGCAACUCGACCUCAUGAAGUCGGAGUCGCUAGUAAUCGUAGAUCAGCAACGCUACGGUGAAUACGUUCCCGGGCCUUGUACACACCGCCCGUCAAGUCACGAAAGUCGAUAACACCCGAAGCCGGUGGCCUAACCGCAAGGAGGGAGCCGUCGAAGGUGGGAUUGGUGAUUGGGACUAAGUCGUAACAAGGUAGCCGUACCGGAAGGUGCGGCUG